rnacentral:lncRNA from 1 species
GUGGUGGUGGUGGUGGUGGUGGUGAGGAGGGGUGGUGGAUAGCGGCGGCGGGUGGUGGAGGAGGCCUGUGGUGGUGGCGGCGGAAUAAGUUGUGGUGGUGGUGGUGGUGGUGAGGCGGUGGGGGAGGGGCGUGGUGGCGGUGGAGGUGGUGGUGUGGUGGUGAUGUGGAGGAGGAGGCGGGGGUGGAGGUGGUGGUGGUGGUGUGGUGUGGAGGAGGAGGAAGGUGGUGGAGGAGUGGUGGCGGGGUGGUGGUGGUGGAGGAGGAGGCACGGCGGUGGAGGUGGUGAAGGGGAGAGGAGGAGGAGGAGUUGGACGGGUGGCGGUGGGUGGCGGUGAUGCUGGUGGUGGCGGGUGAGUGGUGGAGGAGGAGCGGGGGGCGGUGGGGAGGAGAGGAGGAGCGGGGUGGUGGAAGUGGUGGAGGGGUGGAGGAGGGGUGGCGGGGUGAUGGUGGUGGUGAGGAGGAGGAGAGGAGGGAGAGGGUUGGAGGUGGUCGGUGGCGUGAUGGUGAGGAGAGGAGACGCGGUGGGGGAGGAGGGCUGGGGUGCGGGGUGGUGUGGUGGAGGAGGAUGGUGGUGGAGUUGGUGGUGGUGGGUGGCGAUGAUGCUGAGGAGGUGGGGUCGGUGGUUGUGGUGGAGGAGGAGGAGGUGGAGGUGGUGGUGGAGGAGGAGGAGGGACGGUGUGGAGGUUGGAGGAGGAUGGGUGGCGGUGAUGGUAGUGGUGGAUGUGGUGUGGAGGAGGAGGUGGCGGGAGGUGAUGGUGGUGGAGAGGCGGCGGUGGAGGUGGUGUGGAGGAGGAGGAAGGUGGCGGCGGUUGAUGGAGGGGCGGUGAUGAGGAGGUGGGUGUGGCGGUGAUGAGGUGGUGGAGGAGGAGGGGCGGUUGGUGGGGUGAGGAGGAGGUGGAGUUGGGGUUGAAAAUUGGAUUAAAAAAGUUGUAAAAUAAUUUUGAUAAACCAAAACAAAAACAAUUUUCUUGUUUUUCACUAUUUUCAAAAAUAGUGAAAACUGUUAGCCUGUUUUAUUUAUUUUUGCAACACAAACAAAGUUUCUGUUUCCAUAAUAAAUUAAACAAAAUUAGAACAGAAAAACGAAAAUUUAAAACAGUUACCAAAACUCACUUAGUGUAUUUUUUGCCACUUUUGCCUUUUUUCCUCAUUAACCUGCAAUGAACUCAGACACGACUAUAGUAGAAACAUGAAAAAAUAAAUAAUUAAACUAAUUAGGGCCAACUUAGGUCGGUUAAAUGGCGUUUGGCUACAAUAUGUAGUCCAAUUCACAACCCCAACAACUUUUUUGCUUAGUCCCUAGCAAAAAACAAAAUCAAAAAGAUAAUCUCUCAUUUCGUAAGCGUCCAGAGUCUCGAAUGCAAUUUAGCUUAUGCAUCAAGCCUUUAAAAACGCUAGGUUCCCUCGUGGAAGAGUGUGUCUUGUGAGGUCUUCUUGUGGAUGUACCCACAAAAUCACAUAAGCAAUGUAUCAAAAAAUAAUUUAAACAGUUUUCAACAAAAAUACCAAUGAAAAAAAAAACAGGCAAUUCAAAUCAAACCCCAUCAUGCUAAGCUAAUCUACCAAACUGUCAAGUGCAAUAUAAGCGCGAGAUUCAGGUGUGGAAGUGGUUAGAGUCGUAUCCCCACCUUCAGCCAUACGCAUCAAACAAAAAACCUUCAGUCUCGAUUCAAAACUCACAAGUCAGUACAUCUCACCAAUAGAACGCACCAGUUCCUUUCAAGGAAUUGCUCGUUGUAGAGUAAGUGUAAAGAAUUUACUAGAGUACUCCCCCUUUCACAACCCGCACAGAUAUACAGUGUAUCGCUUGGUAAUUUCCUGAACGACUUUUCACGUUAUGCACCAGUUGUGCCUUUGACUUGAUGGCUUCCCCGCCAAUAAUUUCGAAUUAGCAAUUACGGAGAUUUAAGGCCAUAUGAGUGAAAGAAUAGGUCCAGAAAGUAGAGAGAACAAGCGGUAAUAGAUUCAAUGUGCAUUUGCAACUACACAUACCAACGUAAUAAGCAUUAAACUUCAAAGCUCUCUUUUUUCACAACUUUUCAAAGUUGGAAUUCGGUUUUUUAAAUUUUUUUUCUUCUUCUUUUUGUCUCAACUUCUGAAAAUUACCUCCAAACAAUGGCUUUUGAGGAUCUUUUGUAUAUUACAAUUAUCGAAAAGAAUAACAGAAAGGAAGAUAUAUAUGAAUGGGCCUCCUCAAUGUAACAAAAUCGGAUAUGCGUGGUAAAGCAUGUAAAGAUGUCAAAAACUUUUAACUCAUCCACUAAAAUGUAAAACACAUCAAAAUAUUGAAAGUAUUUCAAACAAUGAAGUUCGUAAAUUUCUUGAGAAGGUAAAAUCGCUCACAAAAACGAAUUUAUGGCUUAAAGCCCAAGGUAUAAAUCUACCACUUUCUGGAUGCAGGGUCAUUGUGGAUUAUACAAUUUCACUUUGAAAAACACGACUCGGUGCAGGGUAUGUGAUCCUCUCGCUCUCUUAUAUAGCACAAAACAGAAAGUAUCAAGCAUUUGCAAGACCGAAUUGGCUUGAUAAUACGACUUUUAAAAGAUCAUAUUAUGCAAAAGUCACUAGUUGUUUCAACUACCUUUGGAAACACAACAUUAUGUUCAGUUAGGGUCCACAAACUAAAAUUCUCAACACAUUCCACAAUUACGAAAGAUUAAGAGUAUAAAUAUGGAGUGCGGAAAAGUUGCCCAUAAAAUUGAGGAACCAGGAAAACCAAACCUAUUUCGGAUGUCAUGGAAUGAAAAAUAAACUGACUAUCAACAUCCAAAACAUGUUAACAAUAUAUUUUUUUCAAAAUUUUUUAAUUUUUUUUAAUUUUUUCCAUUUUUUUUAAUGAAAAAAAUUAAACUAUCCUAAAAACUAAAUUAUCCUAAAAAACUACGAAGUACUCCCCCCAAACUAGAGAUGAGUAUUCUACGAAAGCGAAAAAAAUAAAUUUAAUUUAAAAAAAUAAAACAUCAAACAGAAAAUAACAAUAAAAUAACUCGAAGGAAAAAACAAAAAUAAAAGGUCCGAAAGACAACACACUCUCCCCCCAACAGAGUUGUGAAACUGAUGAACAAAAAAUCCCAACUUGAUCCUUUAACAAAAAUAUAUACGACCAUUCCAGAUGAUCAAAAUACUUUGAAUCUUUUAUUUUGGACGCUUGAACAUUGUGUUGCUACACAAGCCCAUCUUUAAACAAUGGAAUUUGAGAUUCUUGGACUAAUGCAAUGAGAUAAGGAUCUACAACUCCAUUAAAGUUGUCAACACUCAAGUAAAAGAAAAUCUAUGAAACCUAAUCAAUGGAGACUUAGUUGCACAAUCAAGGCAAAAUACGCAAAUUGUCCUCCCAUUUUUCGAGUAAAUUCUUUAGGUGGUGUGACUAAAUCUUGUGCAAGGGUUUCGUGGUCCUCGCUGUGAUUCUAACCUCAAAAAAUAGACCGGGUUCACUAGGCGCCAUUACACACCUCACCAUUAUCUUCUUUAUAAACACUCUCACCUCCCUCUUUUCCUAUCAAUCUCGAUAUCUAAAUCCCUAGGGACUCAUCAUAACCAGAUUUACCUUUUUGGUGCAAUUAAUUUUAUGAUUUCCUUCAACUUGUUCUUCAAUGCAAUUCGCAGGCUAGGAUUUUGUAGGAUGGUGGAGAAUCGCUCUUGAGUUGUUGUGCAAUAUUAAAAUUCUAAGUAAAGAAAUUCAUCUGUCCCAAUUGUUGCUCAAUAUUUGUGACCUUAGUGCGCAACUCAUUAUCCUUAUUCCUCCAAUGUGGAGGUGGUUGGUAUGUGUAGGUUAUUAUAUUUUUGCACAAACUCUAAAAACUCAUAAGCCUUAGGAAUUCGUCAAAAUAUGGCAAUAACUAGAACAUAUGGGACAUGGCGCAUUGUAUACAAAUUCCUGAGUCCUUGAGUAGAUUGACAUCGUUUUGAAAUAAUUCUGGAACUCAUGAGCCUGAGGACAUUCAGUCACAAGGUGCCUAUGACUGCAUAUAAAGACAUGGCUCAUUGUAUAGUAUCUUGAGAUCUUUGGGUGACCUUCAUAUAUUUUCGAAUAUAAAAACUCGGGAAACUCAUGAGCCCUCGGACAUUCAGUCACGGUGUGGCUAUGCUUAAACAUUAAAGGACAUGGUCAUAGUACACAAUUCCUCAAACCAAGGGGGGGGGGUGGAGGUGAAUACGUGGAAGAGUUAUGAACCCCCAUCGUAGUUAGGCUUGUGCUACUUCAAAAUUACUUCAAAAGGCAUCCUCAAUUUUUUUUUUAAACGAAAAAUAAAAAAAUAAAUGGAACGAAGUACCCAUGGCAUUAAGCCGAAGAUUCGUCUGUGGGGGUAGAUGAUGGAAAUUUCAAUUCACCAAUUGCUCGCACCAAAGUUUCUAGUGGCUCGCUGUGCCUUUGGCCCGGCAACGGCGCCAAAAACUUUUAAUUCGCUUCCAGAAGGAAUUCUUUACCGCAAGUGUACGGGUCGCGAAGUAGUAAUAAACCGAUAAUCCGGUAUCGUUUCUCUCCCAAGGGACUUAGCUAAAUAUAAGCUGUAGCACUCCACCUCACACUUUCUAACUCGGAUCAACUAAAAAUUAUAUGAAUUGAACUUAAAAUAAAAGAAAAAAAUAAAAAUUCUUGGGUUCUGGGUUGAUGAUUUUAAAAUAAAUCUAAAUAAGAAAGUAAAAAGUUAAUUUAAAUUAAUAAAAACCACCGAAAUCAAUUGAUCAAUCAAUUAGGUUUCUCGAAAUUCAAUGGAGGCUUUUAUAACUCACAUCCGUCGACCAUCGUGGGGGGUCUCGGCUUCGGCAGGAUUUUAGCUUUUACAAAAUAAUUGUUCUUUCAAUCUUCAAUUGUGCAAACAAAUAGUAAUGAACCCACUCACGCCAUAAACUACAAGGCAGCGUAUAUAACUGAGCCAGCAAUUCAUUUAUAAAGUUACUUAGAAUUAAAAUUGAUGUUAUAUCAAGGCCGUGCAUCAUCAUUCGACAUCACAAAGAUGUUUCGAACAUAAUGGACUCCCAAGUUUUCGAAAGAAAAAUUGGGUGUUUUCAUCAUGGUAGUGCAAUGCAUCGAUCCGAAUAAACAAGAAUGGUUUAUCCGAACAUAAUAGGUUCUUCGUUCCCAAUUUCGAAAGUAUCGAAAACGAAAAAAGAAGCGAGGAGAAAAAAUCAAGAAAAUGAGAAAGAAAUCGGUGAUAUUAAAUACCUCAUUGUUUCAUCCCGAUCCCCAAUCAACCUUACACAAUCAAUUCCAGUUGAAAAAAAAAAUAGCCAAAAAAUGACUAAUAAAAAGCAUGUAAAUACAAAUUUAAAAGGGACAUUACGGUAUGAAAAAUUUGCCUUGAAUUGAUAAAUAAUUAAAACUUUUACGAAAAUAUAAAUAAAUCCUAAGAAUAUAUGAAACCUAAACUAAAAGGCUGAAAGAAACCCUAAUCUAAAGCAUAACUAAGCAUAUUUCGGCAUAAAGAGAGAAGGAAGUAUUUAUAGGGCAAUACAAUUAGAAUUCCUAAUGGAGAGGAAACUUCAAAACUCUUAAAUCUGUCAUGUAUGUUGUACCUUAUUUGAACCCACUUUUGAGAUCGCAUAAGCCAAUUCUAUGUGAUUAGAGGGACACAAUUGUAUCCCUUUAAAUUCUUCUUUCCAACGCUGUCAAAAUCAGCUCAAUCGGAACAUCGGAGUAUGUAAGUAAAAAGUUAUGACCAAAUUACCGAGAUGAAUCUGAAUUUUCUACUUUCAGCUUCGCACUUUUCGAACUGUAGCACGGGAGUUUGAACUCUUAAGGGAUGUUUUGACCACUUUUGCCUUUUCUCAUAAUUAACCUGCAAUGAAAAUAAACACGACUCUAAGAUACGAAACAUGAUAAAAAUACAUAAUUAAACUAAAUUAGGACCAACUUAGGUCGGUUAAAUGGCGUUUGGACUACAAUUAUGUAGUCCAAUCAGUCACUGACUGCAUUCGCAUUCAUUAUCGCAGGACCACCACAGGUGUUUAUCCUCAAUUUCCUUUAUUUCACUUUCUAAACUCACAACCCACACCAACAUUGGAUUGUGGCUUUGUAGGGAAUUCGGUCAUCCGUCUUAGAAUGGUAGCUCGGGCAGCGAGCUCAUCCCAGUAGAGUUGCUUAGCCAAAUUGAGGGGCGAAGAGUAGUGUACACCUAAAGCUUUGUUUGCUACCGGAACACUUAAGAUUAGUUUCCAAUGACGUGAUAGACUAGCUACCAACCAUCUUCUAAGAGCAUAAUUGGGUCAACUGCUUAUUCACUAACACAACAAUUUGUGCAUCCUCACACGCGCCAAGUUGUACUAUAAAAGGAGGCAAACACUCACUUUUAUGGGUAAUCCUCUUUUACCCUCUCUUUUACUUUCUCUCUAACUUCAGUGCAAAAAGACUUUCCCUUCCUCUCAUGUUUUUGUUUUCUUCAGUAAUUGACUUAACCGUCAAAGAGCUAAUUCAGAGUAGUUUGAGCGAUCCUUCUCACGUUAGUUGUCUUUCAGGCUUAGCCAAGCAGUGUCCUACACCAUUAGGUACUACUUGUCACCACCACUCUGAUAUGUGUUCAAUUUCCUUUGAUCUCAUAAUUGGCGUUGUCUAUGGAAAAUCGACUCUAGACACUACAAGUAUGUUUCUGAUGGCAUCAAAAAGUUACAACGGCAAUCGAGGUAGCCGAGAAGACUAAGGGGAGUUCCCUCUAUUUUUGAGAAUACCAGCAGAGAAGUGAAUGGCGCUACUGGAUGAUGAUCAAGGGGAAGCCUUGGGCCCUUCUAUGCAAAGGCCAAGUCGGCCACACCCUAUUGUCAGUGAAGACUAUCGAGAUGAGGCCAUGAAAUGCAUGGUAGUAGAAAUGGAAGGGAUGAGGCAAAUUCUUAUUGUCAACAACUUGAAGAUGCCUACCAAUAAGGUAGGUGAAUUGUCGUCCUGAGGUGUGGGCCGUUGAGCAAGAUGCCAUACCUCAUGGCGACUCUAAGGAAAAGUGGGGCUAUGUCGCAUUAUGACGAGGCAGAGAGUCAUGGUGACAGUCGAACUAUGGCUUCGGGCAAGCAAAAGAAUGCACUAAGUCGAUGGGGGGGAUGGGGUGGGGGGAUGGAUUUCGUUCGGUUGGGUGGACAACUUUCGCCAUUCGCUAAAUGCCAAACAUGGUAGGGAAAAGACGAAGGGAAGAAGGAGAAGGAGAGUUACAAAUCAAGCUGGCAACAAAGGCAGUUGUUGUAGUGAAGUUGGUUCCAUCCGCGAAAUCGGUAGAAAGGAUAUUGAGAUCAAUCACAUGGAGUAGUUACUCCCGAGGUACCAAACCCCAUUCAUAUUUGAGAUUUCAGCCGCGAGAUCAGUGGCAAGGAUACCGAUAUCAAUCCACGUGGAGUAGUUACUCCUGAGGUACCAAACCCUGUUCAUACUUGAGAUAGUGGGGGUUGAACCUUCAGAGAAAUUCAAGUCACCCAAUUUCACAAUGUAUGACGGAAAGUCAGAACCGAGGUCUCACAUAAGCCAUUACAAACAAAUGAUGUCAUCACAAGUGUACAAUAUGCGGGUUUUUUUUUUUUUUUUUUCUUUUCUUAAGGGUAUUCCCUUAGCUGGGCAACCAAGCUAAAGUUGUGCGAGAUUUCUUGUAAAGCAAUAUCUAUCAUGAAUUUAUUAAAUUAAAAGCGAAAGCCCAAAAACAUAUCAUCCAUCCAUAGCAAUCAGAUUCCGAUUAUGAGUAAUCAUAAACACCAAAACUAUAGAAACGAUAUGAAAAAUCUUCAUCUAGUCUAUCUAAUACCUUAAUCCACACAAUACAUGGAAAUAUCACAGACUCUUUUGUUGGAUUAGAGACCCUUUUUCUCCCUAUGAAUUUUUUUUUACGUACAUCUUCUGAAGACUUCUUUUUCCAUCAAAAGUAAAAGAGUUAUAUAACUGAUGGGCAACUAUAUCUUUAACAUGUCCCACUAUCCCACUAUCUAAGGGAAAAUAACUGCAUAGGGAGUUAUUUUUUUAAAAGAUAACGGGCCACAAAUUAUUAUUUUAUUUUUUAAAUAAAUAAAAAAUAAAGCGUAACUAACAUUUUCCACUUAGCCUAUUAAACACUUAAUAUGUACCAAUUCAGUAUUGAUACAUUAUCCAAAAUUUGUUCAUAGAUAAUAAAUCUAUAUCCCAAAACAAAGAGGGUAAAUUGCAUUUAGAUUAUGAAGUAAGUUCUUUAGAGCAAGUUUACCUUCCCAAGUUACAAUGCACUUCUCUUUUGAAUGAGAAACAUAUGUGGUAGAUUAUCUUUAUCAAUGAACUCGAAACGCUCAUACGGCUCACAAAUGAAAUCAAAUAUGCCACUUCCUUCUAUAAACUUUCACGUAUACAAAUAAAUAAGAGAAGACAAAUAUGAAUCAGUGGAGUCUUUCAAAUCGAUCAAAUGCGAUACAAAAAUAAAAAGGUAUCUCCAAUACAUAUAAACUACAUUAAAAGAACCUGAGUAGUCCCAUCUGCUCAACAUGUCCUUGUUAGCACGAAGGUGGUAAACUUCGUCAAAGGAUCAACAAUCAUUAAUUAGUACUGAUGUGUUCGACAACCACUUUGUUUGCGUUGACAUGUUCUAGAAUAGCAAGAUAUUUAAUGUCGAUAUGCUUAUUACGACUUCCACUUUUAUUUUUCUUGGCCAAAAACACGGCAACAUAAUUAACUCAGUAAAUCCUCAAUGGCUUGGAAAUUGUGUAAAUAAUUUCAAGACCCCAAAUAAAACUCUGUAACCAUGUAGCCUGUGAUGUCACUUCAAAUCACGAUACAAACUCUACUUUAGUGGUAGAAGUAGCAACCAAAGAUUGUUUUGCAUUUCUCCAAGAAUGGCCCCUCCAAUUAAUAAGAAGACAUAUUAUGAUGUCGACUUUCUCGAGUCAAGGCAACCAACAAAGUCAGAAUCUAAAUAUCCAAUCACUUUUAGAUGAUCAGACUGCCUAUAUGUAAGCUUGUAGUCCUUAAUCCCUUGAAGGAUCCAUGAUUUCUUUUGCAGCUCUCCCAAUGGUCCAAAAUAGGUUACUUGAUUCUUCCCACAUUCCAACUGCAUAUCAUGUUAGGUCUUGUGCAAGCCUGAGACAUACAUUCAAUUUCCCACUUACGGAAGUUAUAAGGAAUGUUCUUCAUUUGUUCACCAUCUCUAAAUCAUUUCUCGGGCUCUAUUCCCAAACUGAAUUUGUCACCUUGACAAUAGGUGCAACACUAGAUGACAUUCUUCUAGAUUAUCUUUCCCUAAAACCUUCUUGAUUGGCUCUUAAGCGGCCUUAAAUUGUCCCUCCUGGAUCUGUCUCCUCAAUCUUUAUGCCAAGACAUAAGAAGCUCGCCUAUAUCUUUAACCUCAUGAGUAAAGCCUCAAAUCAUUUAACAAGUAGAAUUUCACUACCUUUGGGACUAAGAAUAAUUACUCCCACUUGACACUUAUGGUAUAUACAUUGGAUCCAUGAUAUUCUCCGUAAAAUCAAAUGAAGAAAUCACAUCAUAAACUUUAGAUACCAUUGAAAGGGAGGCUUGGCUAUUUACCCAUAUAUCACAAGAUUUCUUAGCCAGAUCACACUAAGUGCAAUCAUUGUCCCCCCCGCUAAAAAUGAACCCUUCUGGUUUGUCUUUUCAUGUAAACCUCUUCUUAUAGGUCUCCAUUGAGGAAAGUCGUUUUCACAUCAAUUUGAUGUAGCUCAAUAUCAAAAUGAGCUAGCAAUGCCAUGAUUAUUUGAAGUGAAUCCUUCUUUGAAAUAGUAAAUAAGGUAUUUGAUAAUCAAUUCCUUCUUGUUGAGUAAAUCAUUUAGCUACAAGUCUUGCCUUAUGUCUUUACUUGGGCUACAAGUCUUCACUUGUUCUUCAAUAUUGUCUAAAGAGUCUCUUUUGGUUUUAAAAACCCAUUUACUACCAAUGACCUUUCCCCCUUUAGGCAAUUCGACAAGAUCCCAAACUUGGUUAUUAGCCAUUGAAUCCAACUCAUCUUUCAUGGCAUCAUACCAUAAUGUGGACUUAUUUCAACUCAUAUCUUGUGAAAAUGUAACAAAGUCAUCUUCAGCACCAAUGUCCAUGUCAAAUUUUUAUAG